rnacentral:rRNA from 1 species
UUUUGACCUCGGAUCAGGGAGGGAUACCCGCUGAACUUAAGCAUAUCAAUAAGCGGGAGGAA